rnacentral:rRNA from 1 species
AAGCGUACACGGUGGAUGCCCUGGCAGUCAGAGGCGAUGAAGGACGUGCUAAUCUGCGAAAAGCGUCGGUAAGGUGAUAUGAACCGUUAUAACCGGCGAUGUCCGAAUGGGGAAACCCAGUGUGAUUCGUCACACUAUCGUUAACUGAAUACAUAGGUUAACGAGGCGAACCGGGGGAACUGAAACAUCUAAGUACCCCGAGGAAAAGAAAUCAACCGAGAUUCCCCCAGUAGCGGCGAGCGAACGGGGAGCAG